GCGGGUCGCUGCUUUGCUGUGGGUUAGCAGCACCCUGAGCGGAGCGGAAGAGCUGCCCGCCGCCGCGUAACCCCGAGGCCGAGACUCCUGGCCUGGCCUCCUUGGGCCCACGACGCCUGCCCCGCGGAGCGGACCCAUGGGCCUGAGGUUUGUGUGCGGGGCCUCAGGCGAGCGCUGGCGCAGCCUGUCCCCCAUCGUCUGCGCCCUGCGGGCCUGGCCCUCCCCGUGGAAGGACCGCGGGCUUCGGGGCCCCACGCUGGGGGGCUGACUCCUGCCACACACACAGCGGUGGCCGCGGGCCUGGGGCGGCAGCACAGCCGUUCUGCUCGGGCUGCGUGAAGCUGACCCCGCUCUCUGUGCACCUACUUUUGCUGCGUUUGGUGCUGAGCCUGAAGUCCCAGGACAGGCGGCUGAGGGGGAAAGAUGGUGUGAAUUGGGUGGGCAGAGACAACUGAAAGCCACAGGACCCGGUUGGCACCUUUUUGGCCGCCUGGGCCUUUGCCUGCAGCCCCGCUCCCUGGGUCACCCGAAGGAGGAGCUGGCGCUCUUACCGGGCGCAGAAGCACCCGACCUACGCUGGAGGAAACGGUCCCCCUGGGCAGGAGAAGCUUUGGGCUUGGCUGGAGCACACUCACGGAACCACGCCAACGCCUGGCCUGUAGCCAGCUCCCACCUCCCCUCCCACCUUCUAAAAUGCUUGCGGAUCUCACGUGGCCGACCCUAACCAGAUACACAUGGGGAAAGGAAUCAGGUGGCACACACACUGCCUUUACUCCAUAGAGAACUUCCAAUUGUGGGUCGGCACAGACGCAACGCAGUCUCCUCCCACCUCCGACAGUGCGGUGUCCUGAAUGGAGAACCCCAGCACCCAGAAGCAUCCACUGAAGGACUAAAUUCUACACAUGAAGGCAAACGUCCGUGGUUGACAGAAAUUACACUGGCCAGAAUCCCCAGUCCCCAUGAGGCUUGUCCAGACGCAGUGAACCAGUCGCAGCUGACAACACACAGACCAUUCCCGAUCCCAGAGGUGCAUUUCAGGAUUCAUUCUAUUUCAUCAGAGAUGGGGUCUUCCUGUGUUGCCCAGGCUGGUCUCGAACUCCUGGGCUGAAGCAAUCUUCCUGCCUUGGCCUCCCAGAGGGUUGGAAUUGCAGAUGUGAGGUGUGUCCUGGAACCCUGGCUGCACCCACAGACACAGCCACUCCUGGGCCCAUGUGGAUGGAACCUUCGAGUGCCGGAAUGCCUCGUCUCCAUGGAGACCAAACUCAAGGGCCUGACUGGCCCAGGCUACCGAGACCACGAGCCCUGCUGUGCCCCUCGGCCAGGCCAACCCAAAUUCUUUUAAAUAAAAGGCACAAGCCACA
rnacentral:antisense_RNA from 1 species